CGAACGCUGGCGGCAGGCUUAACACAUGCAAGUCGAGCGGGCCCUUCGGGGUCAGCGGCAGACGGGUGAGUAACGCGUGGGAACGUGCCCUUCGGUUCGGAAUAACUCAGGGAAACUUGAGCUAAUACCGGAUACGUGCGAGAGCAGAAAGGUUUAUCUGCCGAAGGAUCGGCCCGCGUCUGAUUAGCUAGUUGGUGAGGUUAUGGCUCACCAAGGCGACGAUCAGUAGCUGGUCUAAGAGGAUGAUCAGCCACACUGGGACUGAGACACGGCCCAGACUCCUACGGGAGGCAGCAGAAGGG
rnacentral:rRNA from 1 species